rnacentral:tRNA from 1 species
GAUCGGUAAGCUCAAUAGGUAGAGCGGGAGUCUGAAAAGCUCCGCGUAGGGGGUUCGAGUCCCUCACCGAUCA